UAACAGCUAUGGCAAGAAAGGUCAAAAAAUGGAACAAAAUGGCUCAUUUAGCAACAGAGUUUUGGGGCUCAACUGUGGUCAUAAGUCAAGGACUACCCGUACACACAUUGAAUGGAAACACUGUAUUUCUCUAUGUCAUCUCUUGCCGCCAUAAAGGUUCCAUGCAAGUUGUUUGUUAAAGCCUGUUUAAAUCUUCCAUGAAAGAGCCAUAGUACAUCUGGAACAUAAUGUUCAAUCAAAAGGUAUUUGUUCCCAUUUUCCAUAACAUAGCAAGGAACUUUUGGCUCUGAAGUAUGAAAUUGUCAUGUUCUCCAUAGUCAUGCUUUGGAGAGAAAAAAAGUGCCAUUUCUAAUUUAGUAGCUAGUUUGGCCCAGACAUCUCCCCAAGUAAAUUAUGGUUUAUUUAUUAUAAACAUGCCAUGGUAUCAAAGAUCCAGAAUGUAAAUGAAUUGGCUUUAAUCUCACCAAAGCAACAUUCACAAACAUGCUACACCAAAACUCUCCUUUAUUAUGCAAGAAGAAAUACAAUUUUGAUCAAAAAUAAAAAUUUGAAC